rnacentral:rRNA from 1 species
UACGGGGGGGGCAAGCGUUGUUCGGAAUUACUGGGCGUAAAGGGCUCGUAGGUGGCCAACUAAGUCAGACGUGAAAUCCCUCGGCUUAACCGGGGAACUGCGUCUGAUACUGGAUGGCUUGAGUUUGGGAGAGGGAUGCGGAAUUCCUGGUGUAGCGGUGAAAUGCGCAGAUAUCAGGAGGAACACCGGUGGCGAAGGCGGUUCUCUGGGCAUGACCUGACGCUGAGGAGCGAAAGCGUGGGGAGCGAACAGG